GUUGAGAGGAAUGUUGUCUGGCUCGAGGUCAUGAUAUGGAGAUAUAUAUGAAAGUGUUUCAGUUAAAUUCCAGGGUAUAUAAAUUAAUGGAAAUUAAUUUAUACCCUAAAUGAUUCUCGGACCAGGCUUCAUUCCCCCCAGC
rfam:Glycine soja cultivar W05 scaffold4608_36, whole genome shotgun sequence.